ACGGCGAUUUGACCUACUCUUUCGUUCGUCUCUGAUUUAUAAGCUAUUUGUGGAUUGAUUUUUUUUUUUUCUAGUUCGAUCUUAGUUUUUCUAUUGGGAUUUCUAGGUUUUUUUAUUGUUGUAGUUGAGUGAGCAUCGGUGAUGAAUCCACGAAAAAAUUGUUAUCCUUGCACUUUGAUUGCUAGUGAAGAAACAAAUGGGGUUUUCAACUUCUGAGAUGCUCUUUUUUUUUUUUGGUUUGUUUUUGUGUCUUUGAUGAUGAUGAUUCAAUGUUUGGAUUGUGUUUUGUAUUUGGUUUGAUUUGUUUUAGGAUUGGAUCGAUGAUUUGUUAGUUUAAAAUACUGCGUUAUCUUUCUGCAAAUCUCCUCUUAAGGAUUUUGAAGAAGAACAAUAAAAAGCUGAGAUCCAAUUGUUUUUAAA